rnacentral:rRNA from 1 species
ACUCCUACGGGAGGCAGCAGUGGGGAAUAUUGCACAAUGGGGAAACCCUGAUGCAGCCAUGCCGCGUGUGUGAAGAAGGCCUCGGUUGUAAGCACUUCAGUAGGAGGAAGGUAGUGUAGUUAACACCUGCAUAUUUGUACGUUACCUACAGAAGAAGCACCGGCUAACUCCGUGCCAGCAGCCGCGGUAAUACGGAGGGGUGCGAGCGUUAAUCGGAAUUACUGGGCGUAAAGCGCAUGCAGGCGGCCUGUUAAGUCAGAUGUGAAAGCCCGGGGGCUUAACCUCGGAAUUGCAUUUGAAACUGGCAGGCUAGAGUCUGUAGAGGGGGUAGGAAUUUCAGGUGUAG